rnacentral:rRNA from 1 species
GUCCACACGGUAAACGAUGAAUACUCGCUGUUGGCGAUACAAUGUCAGCGGCCAAGCGAAAGCAUUAAGUAUUCCACCUGGGGAGUACGCCGGCAACGGUGAAACUCAAAGGAAUUGACGGGGGCCCGCACAAGCGGAGGAACAUGUGGUUUAAUUCGAUGAUACGCGAGGAACCUUACCCGGGCUUAAAUUGCACUGGACAGGCCAAGAGAUUGGCUCUUCUUCGGACCAGUGUGAAGGUGCUGCAUGGUUGUCGU